GGACAGUGGAAGGUGUCCCUGCCCAUGGCAGGCCAUGGAACAGGAUGAAGAGCUGAGAGCAAGGGAUCAAUCUGUGUGUACCCAGUGUGCCCCUGGCACUGCCCAGGGCUCUCCUUCACUCCAUUAGUGCCAGCUGCCCACAGGCCAGCACUGGCCCAGCUCCACUCACCAGAUGCCAGUGGUUUGUGCUGCACCUCACAACACUCCCUGGGUUUCUCUAGAGCAGCCUCCUGCUCUGUGCAGCCAAGUGUUUCUCCUCCCAGCCCACUUGCUGCUAUAUAUAAUUUGAGCACUGUCUACCUUUCUGCAGACCAAGCUGGGAGUCGUGCUUCCCAGAAAUCGUGAGGUGGCAUUCAGAAUCCUGAAGGUUCCUGGAAAAGCCUGCUCAGAAUGCCUGCUCCAGCCUGCUGGUUCUCUUGUCCUUUAUAGGUCACAGGGUCACUCAGGUUAGGUCUGCUGGCAGUUCACAAACUGGUACGGUUCAAUAAAUGAGAGGUCUGGCUCAUACUGCUUCAUAAAAAUAACAUUUGGCUUCUGUAUGUCAAAUAGAUCCUUUGGAAAACAGGUUUCUCUCUCUCCUUGCUCAAGUCAGAUAUUUGCCUGCUGCCAUCUGCUCCCUCCUGCUUUCCAGGGAAGAGUUCACCCACCAGCUCAUCAUUGAGAGCAAAACCACAGACAAAUCUGGCUGAAUUCUUGUUCCUUCAUGGGCACAGCUCACCCUUCCCGUGACCUGAGUUUGUGCUGCUGCAGCAUUCCUCAGGCAGCUCGUGACCUCAGUUAUUCCUCAGUUCUCAAAACGUCACUGCCUGUAUUUUCAGGUGUUUUAAAACCAACUUCCCUUUUUACAGUGCCAUUGAAACAGCUUUCUGUCAUUUUCUACUGCUCAGCAUUUUGGGAAUAUAUCAUUACACAGAAAAGUUAUCUCAGGGGCUCAGGGCCCAGGAUUUGGGCCCUCACGAGUUAUGGAAUAACAGGAUCAGAGUAUGACAAUGAAUCUAGAGCCUGUGAGGCAGGAAGAAUGGGGCCGGUUGUUCAAACGCUGCCGCUGCCAGGUCCUUGGGGCAUGAUCUGGGAUGAAUCACCCUGUUCUGUGCGCCCUAACCCCAUGCCAAGGAAGAACCAGAAAGGUGCCAUUUUAAGGAGUCACUUGGACUCUCACGGGGGGAAAGGCAGCCCAGAGACCGCCGGGCCCAGCUUCCCCCUCGCCAAAGCCCGCGCCCGUCGCUGGUCACGUUCUGCCCUCUAGUGCUCGUUCUCCCAGAGCUUCUGCAAGCCGAGUUCACCGGGAGGACUGGGAAUGCGUUCGUACGGAACAGCCGUCGGGAGCUUUCCAUGGAACUGCAAUUUCUGAGCUGUUUCCCUUCCCUGCUCCGCACGUGGCACAGGAGGAAUCACCCGGGCUCUGCAGGAGCGUGCUAGUGCCCGGCUCCCGUGCAGUGCACGCACGGGUUGACAGCAACAUACAUCCAAGAACAGCAGCCCCGAGUGCUGCCCGCUCCCAGGCAGCCCUAACUUCGGCCCAGACUUGCUUGAUUCCCAGUGGAAGCACAUUUCCCACACCAUUAGAAAUCCAGGUGAGUUGGAGAGAGGAGAAAGACUGAUUUGAGAAGUUUACUAAAGCACUUAAGAAACUGGCAUUGAGAUGCACGUGAGAAUUCCCAAAUUUAACCAGUUUGUUUUUGUGGGCAUUUGAUUAUUCCCAUCUUCUCCGGGAUUCCUCACUUUGUUCUAGGGAAUAUUUUUUGCUUUUCUGGGAGUUUUCUUUGUAGUGAGAAUGAUUAAUAUUCAUGCAGAAAUUCUGCAGCAAUUGAAGCCUCCAGCGAUCCAGAGCCUCAGAGCAGAGAGAGGUUAAUAUUCUUCCUCCUUCCAUUCCUCCUGUUGCUUGCAGAGGAAUGAUGUGGUCCGUGCAGGGAUAUGAACAAGGAGGAA